rnacentral:rRNA from 1 species
GACGAACGCUGGCGGCGCGCUUAACACAUGCAAGUCGAACGGAAAGGCCUGCUUUCCCUUGUGGAUUGCGGGUACUCGAGUGGCGAACGGGUGAGUAACACGUGAGUGAUCUGCCCCCAACUUGGGUCUAAGCCUGGGAAACUGGGUCUAAUCCCCCAUAGGACUGCAGGGUGGUGCCUGUGGUGGAAAACGCUCUUCUAGUGGUUGGGGAUGAGCUCGCGGCCUAUCAGCUUGUUGGUGUGGUAAUGUCCUACCAAGGCGGCGACGGGUAGCCGGCGGGGGAAGGGGGACGGAGACAGUGGAACUGAGCUGCGGCCCAGAGGCCGACGGGAGGCAGCAGUGGGGAAGAUCGCAAAAUGGGCGGAAGCCUGAGGCAGCGACGCAGAGGGGGGGGUGACGGCCUUCGGGUGGUAAACUCCUUUCGACCGCGAGGAAGCCACCUGGUUGGAAGGGUGGUGACGGUAGUGGUAGAAGAAGCACCGGCUAACUACGUG